rnacentral:lncRNA from 1 species
UUGCCAGGUGACCAAACAGUUGUUCAGUUGUCAUCGUUUGUGGUUUUUGUCAGUUGGAAAUUCGAACGCUCAUGAAAGUUGUUGAAUUUGAGUGAUUGUUCAACAAGACUUUGGAAUUUCAUCAAAAAGUGCACAGUGAUUUUGACAUCUGGUCUUGGCAUAUUUGAAAAUCAUGGUGGUGUGUUUAUUCGCAGACGGAGUCGCAUUUUUGCACUCGGUCCCCCUCCGUCUUUGUUCAGUCCGUUCACCUUUUAACGAACUCGGGAAGACUUUUGUACCGACCCAGACCCAGACGAAAGCUCAAAACUUGGAAUGGAAGCCUCCUGGCGGGAACCCAUUGGCGUGUCUACAGGAAAACCAGUACCAAUUCAAUUCAACGUUGAAGCAUUUUUAAGUGUCUUUGGACGCACGAAACGGGACCAAAAGAGGCAAAUUUUAAAUAAAAUUGGGUUAACUGGU